rnacentral:rRNA from 1 species
CUACGGGUUGCUCCAGUGGGGAAUAUUGCACAAUGGAGGAGACUCUGAUGCAGCAACGCCGCGUGGAGGAUGACACUUUUCGGAGCGUAAACUCCUUUUAUAUAGGAAGAAGAUGACGGUACUAUAUGAAUAAGCGCCGGCUAACUCCGUGCCAGCAGCCGCGGUAAUACGGAGGGCGCAAGCGUUACUCGGAAUCACUGGGCGUAAAGAGCGUGUAGGCGGAUUAAAAAGUCAGAAGUGAAAUCCUAUAGCUUAACUAUAGAACUGCUUCUGAAACUCUUAAUCUAGAAUAUGGGAGAGGUAGAUGGAAUUUCUGGUGUAGGGGUAACAUCCGUAGAGAUCAGAAGGAAUACCGAUUGCGAAGGCGAUCUACUAGAACAUUAUUGACGCUGAGACGCGAAAGCGUGGGGAGCAAACAGGAUUAGAUACCCCAGUAGUC